GACCGGCAGACCUAGUCAUUAAUCACGGUAAAAUAGUUAAGGAAAUAAAAAACGUGAAAAAAAUAAGAUUAUAAAGUAAAAUUUGAAUCCUUUUUAAAACCUUAGAAGCUUUUUUUCCGAACUAUGAAACCCUUGAGGGAAACCGGGAUUAGAUACCCCGUUAUUCUAGGGCAUAAAAAUUUUUUACCAGGGUACUACGAACAAAGUUUAAAACCCAAAGAGCUUGGCGGUGUUUUAGACCCCCCAGGGGAACCUGUCUCAUAAUCGAUAAUCCACGUUAUACCUGACCUUGCUUUAUUUGUUUGUAUACCGUCGUCUUUAGGUAACCUUUUGAGAGGACCAAAGUUAGCUUAUAACAUUUUUAGUGUUUGACGUCAGAUCAAGGUGCAGCUUAUAGCAGGGGGAGGAUGGGUUACAAUUAUAAUUUAUAACACGGCUUAAGAUCUGAAAAGGUCUUUUCAAGGCGGACUUGGAAGUAAAAGCACUAAAAAAGGUGCUUUGAAUGUGGCUCUGAAAUGC
rnacentral:rRNA from 1 species